GGCAGUGUGGUGGAAUUGGUAGACACGCUAGACUAAGAAUCUAGUUCCAUACGGAGUGAGAGUUCAAGUCUCUCCACUGUUAC
rnacentral:tRNA from 1 species